AGCCUUAAGAGCUAUUUAAGGUGAAGCCUGCCCAGUGCUAGUAGGUCAACGGCCGCAGUACUUUGACUGUGCUAAGGUAGCAUAAUCAGUUGGCUUUUAAAUGGAGUCGGGAAUGAAUGGAUUAAUGGGGCCUAUCUGUCUCUAAACUACUCUCUUGAACUUACUUAAUAAGUGAAAAUUCUUAUUGGAAGAAAAAAGACGAGAAGACCCUAGGAGUUUUUACUAAGAUUAUUUUUUAUAAUUAAGUUUUUGUUGGGGCGACAAAAGAAAAAUUUUAAACUUCUUUUUUACUAUACGCCGACUUAAGUAUGAGAAUUUAAACUACCCUAGGGAUAACAGCGUAAUUCUUUUGAGUUUGCGACCUCGAUGUUGGACUAGGAACAAACUAGGCUA
rnacentral:rRNA from 1 species